CCCUUAGAUGUUCUGGGCCGCACGCGUGCUACACUGAGUGGAUCAGCGGGUCAGGUUGCGCGAAAGUGUUUCCUAAUCUUUAAAUCCGCUCGUGAUGGGGAUUGACGGUUGCAAUUUUCCGUCAUGAACGAGGAAUACCUUGUAAGCGCGGGUCAUCAUCCCGCGCUGAAUACGUCCCUGCCCUUUGUACACACCGCCCGUCGCUCCUACCGAUUGAGUGGUCCGGUGAGGCUUUGGGAUCUGAGCGGAAAGAGCGUUUCGCUGUUUCUGCCCGGAAAACUCAGUCGAACCUUAUCAUCUAGAGGAAGGAGAAGUCGUAACA
rnacentral:rRNA from 1 species